GUUUGGAAUAGAGUAAUUUGAUCAUUGUAAGGUUUUGGACACUCCUCUUUUUUAACUAGAUUUUGAAUGUAAUUUGUCCAUUUUCUUAAAAUAGUAUUAGAGUCUCUCUAAUUAAUAUUUGAGCUUUUAUAAGUGUUUUACACUCUACGUGUUUAAUUUUAGCAUAAAAAAGUGUAUUAAUAUCUUAUUUUAGUUUGUAAUAAGG
rnacentral:misc_RNA from 1 species